GGAGUUUGGACCGUGUCUCAGUUCCAAUGUGGGGGACCUUCCUCUCAGAACCCCUACUGAUCGAUGACUUGGUGGGCCGUUACCCCGCCAACUAUCUAAUCAGACGCAUCGCCAUCCCAUACCGAUGAAUCUUUACUCAAAGCAUGAUGUCAUAUUCUGAGACCAUCGGGCAUUAAUCUUACUUUCGCAAGGCUAUUCCCGAGUAUGGGGGAGGUUCGAUACGCGUUACGCACCCGUGCGCCGGUCGCCGGCAAAGAAAGCAAGCUUCCUUCCCGCUGCCCCUCGACUUGCAUGUGUUAGGCCUGUAGCUAGCGUUCAUC
rnacentral:rRNA from 1 species